GAUCAUUAAUGGGAUUACAGGGGGGGUUGAUGCUGGCAGCCUGGCUGCAAUGUGCUCACUCUUCUGAUUUAUUUCACACAUGUGCACUUGGUUUUCUCAAAGGCAGUGCCUUUGGAAAUUAAUUAUAAAAACUCUCUUUGUACUUUUGGAUGCUUGUCUGCCGCAAGGCAAAAUAUUAUAACAACUUUUAACAAUGGAUCUCUUGGCUCUUGCAUCGAUGAAGAACGCAGCGAAAUGCGAUAAGUAAUGUGAAUUGCAGAAUUCAGUGAAUCAUCGAAUCUUUGAACGCACCUUGCGCUCUCUGGUAUUCCGGGGAGCACAUCUGUUCGAGUGUCAUUGAAACUCUCAAAUAAAGGUGGCUGUAGCAGCGAUCUCUGUUUGGAUUUGGACUUUUUGCUGCAUUUAUGUGGCUAGUCUUAAAUAUAUUAGCUGGUCCUCAUUGGGCUCUUGGUUCUACUCGGCGUGAUAAUUAUCUAGCGUUGAGGACAGUCUUUUUAGGAUUGGCCAUGGCCUGUGUGUUGGAUUGCUUCUGAAUUUUAUAUAUUAAGAAGUGUUUAGGAGCUGUUGACGAACGGCUGUCUAAGAACUGUCUAAUUGUCUAAUUUCUGACCUCGGAUCAGGUGGG
rnacentral:rRNA from 1 species